rnacentral:lncRNA from 1 species
AUGCCCCACUUGCCCCAUGGUCACACAGCCUCCCCCGUCCCAUCCUCCCACACUGCUCCAUGGACCCCUCCAUUCCUCCCUGUACCCCUCAUUGCCCCAUGCCCCCUGAUAUCCCGUGUCCCAUACCCUCCCUCAUUGCCCCAGUGUUCGCCCUGUACCACCAUUGGCCCCUCAGACCCCCAGUUCCCCUAUGACCCCAUUGCCCUGUGCCCCAAUACUGCCACUCUCCCAUGCCCCUGCCAUGCCCCACAAUUUCCCUGUCCCUCCCAUUGCCUCAUGACUUUUCCAACACCCCCACUGCUCCAUGACCCAUCCAUCUCACUGUCCCUGGCUGUCCUAUACCCCCACAAAACCCCAGGUCCCCCAUUCCCUCAAUGCCUCUCCUGCCCCACAGGGCCAGGCCCUCCUCACCCUCCAACUUCUCCAGGAUGGCGCUGCGCCCCUGUGCCCGGGUCCCCCACUCGUGGCCGUCCCCCGGCCCCCUCCAGCCUCAGCCUCUGUCCCGCUGACCCGGGGGCUGCCUUGUCCCGCGUCCCCCCGCUGGAGCACCCCUGCAGACAACACACGGGUGGGACAGCCAUGAGCAGGGGGCUGUGGGGGGCCAUCCCCGCCGUGGGGUACUGGGGUGCCACCCGUGGGGACACACCUCUUGCUGACCCCGUGUCCUCGGCAGUGCCAGCUGCAAGGAGAGAGGAGGGGUCAGAGGGUGGAAGAGGCACCCACACCCUCCUGGCACCUCUGGGGCUCAAGGUCCUCUCCCAAGGGGAGGAUGGACACUGUGGGGCAGCAGUGACCCCAGGACACUUGGGGUGCAUCGCCCAAACGGCUCUUACCUGUGGGGGAUGCUGGGGACAUAGGGGAUGUGGGAGAUAUAGGGGACAUGGGGGGACGUGGGGGAUGUGGGGGAUGUGGGGCUGGCGGCCCCCUCUGGGGAUGAGCAGGGAGGGAACUCAGGCCACAGCUCAUCGUCCUCGUCCUGAAGCCAAGUGGGUUCCUGUAAGCAACAGGCAGGGUGGCAGUGCCAGCACGGUCAGUGUCACUCACACAAUGUCCCUGGCACAGUCAUCCUGGCCCUGGCACUCUCACCCUGCCCCAGUAAAGUCAGCUCUGUCCCCAUCUGUACCGCAGCUGCCCUCCCUACCACCUCCUGCCCUGGUGUGCCGCCACCUCCCUUCCAACCCUCCUCACCUUUUUGACGCCGGCUGUUUGCCGGUUGCUGCCGGCGCCGCUUUUUCCUCGGUACCCGCUCCGGUGCCCCCGGCUGUCCCUGCCUCGGCAUCGCCACCACCAUCCCCGGCCUCUCCGGCAUCGCCCCCGGCACCCCUGGGUGCUUCUGCCCCUCCAUCCCCGGCAGCCUCUCCCCCCGCGCACCCCCCUGAGCCCCCCGUAUCCUCCCCUUCACCCCCGUGUUCUUCCCUUCACCCCCGUGUCCCCCGCAUCGCCCCCCGCUUCCCGAGCUUCCUCCCCACCCCGGGGAGCCGUCGCCUCCCCGCUGCUCUCCCCCGGCCCCGCGGCGGGGUCAGAGGGGGUGUCCGGAGUGGGGGCUACGCAGGUGGGGGUGCGAGGGUGGGGGUGCUCGUGGUGGGGGUGCCGGGGGUGGGGUGCUCGCGGUGGGGUGUCCAAGGUGGGAGUGCCGGGGGUGGGAGUGUCCGAGGUGGGGGUGUCCGAGGUGGGGGUUUCAGCGUCUCCCAGAGCCUCCAUGUUUGCUGCGGUCACUGCUGCAGGGGCACAGGGCUGUCGCUGGGGUGCCCUUCGAUGACGCCAUGA